rnacentral:rRNA from 1 species
CACCGCGGUUAUACGAGUAACUCAUAUUAAUACUCCCCGGCGUAAAGUGUGAUUUAAGAAUUAUCUCCAAAUAACUACAGUUAUAACCUCAUCAAGCUGUUAUACGCAUUCAUGAGCAGAAUAAUUAACAACGAAAGUGACUUUAAAUUACAAGAAAUCUUGAUGUCACGACAGUUUGGCCC